rnacentral:rRNA from 1 species
GCUUCCCUCUUCCCCCGUGCCUAAUACAUGCCAGUCGAGCGAACAGACGCGGAGCUUGCUCCUCUGACGUUAGCGGCGGACGGGUGAGUAACACGUGGAUAACCUACCUAUAAGACUGGGAUAACUUCGGGAAACCGGAGCUAAUACCGGAUAAUAUAUUGAACCGCAUGGUUCACUAGUGAAAGACGGUUUUGCUGUCACUUAUAGAUGGAUCCGCGCCGAAUUAGCUAGUUGGUAAGGUAACGGCUUACCAAGGCAACGAUGCGUAGCCGACCUAGGAGAAGGAUGGGCAACACUAGAACGGAGACACGGUCCAGACUCCUAGGGGAGGCAGCAGUAGGGAAUCUUCGGCAGUGGGCUGAAGCCUGACGGAGCAACGCCGCGUGAGUGAUGAAGGUCUUCGAAUCGUAAAGCUCUGUUAUUAGGGAAGAACAAAUGUGUAAGUAACUAUGCACGUCUUGACGGUACCUAAUCAGAAAGCCACGGCUAACUACGUG